rnacentral:misc_RNA from 1 species
AUGGAGAUUACAUUAUUAUAUCAGCACGUAAGUCAUUUGUCUCGGAUUUCCAGUUAGACUUUCAUUGUUGGUAUGUUUUCAUUUUGUGUUAUCUUUGUUUUGCUAUGUAUCUCACUGGGAUUGAUUCUCUGCCAUGUUCUUCUCAAAGCAAGAAAAGAAAGAACUGUAAUUUUGAAUUUCUUGUUUAGGUUUUUGUUUUCUGUGUUUUAUCUGUUUUGUUCAUUGAUUCUCUGUACGAUGUGAAAAUAUAAUUUCACGUAAGCCAGUCCUUGUGUUUGUAUCAUUUAAAUGCAUUUCUUUUCCCUUUUCCUUGAAACCUCUUAUGCAGGGCACAAAAGUGAAGACAUGGAUAUUCAAAGUUUGUGCUAAAAUCAUCAGGGCUUAUGUUUGUUUUCAGUAAUUUUUGUAGGAAGAUGAACCAACAACGCUUGAUUAAUUAAUUAAUUAAUUCUUCCUCCAGUUUCUGAUAAAACUCUUCCUGUACUUUCAGGUUUUCAUGGCUGUAGUUCUAGUAUGCUGUAAAAUGCCUCAUAAAGAUCAUGUUAUCCCACCUCAAAAUUCAGUAAGACAGCAUGAAAGAGGUCUCACUUGUGUAUGUUAUGCCUUUCCACAAGGGUGUAUUUCCAGUAAUGCACGCAAGCGGUGGCAAGUCCUCUAUGUGUAUCCUACUGCUGAUAUUUUAACGAAAACAAAGACAAGAGGGGAAGUGAAUUCCACUAAAGGAGCAAUUCUCAACCAAGGUGCUCUGCAUUUCCAGGACAAGAUUGAAGGACUGGCCGAGCAUAGAGUCUGGAACGUAAAAGGAGAAGAUUAUGUGGCAUCACAUGUAUCAAGGACUAGUAAUAAUGAGAAGCAACUGAGAUUGCUAGAUUCUUAUUUUGGAAAAAUCCAGGGCAAUGCAGCUGAGCCCUCUUCAGAUUCUUCUGAGGAGACAAUUGGGUUACCGGAUGAAAGCAGACAAAUCAAUUCAAAGGAGGAAUUGAAAACUCUAAAUUCAUAUAUUGGCAAACUUAAUAAAGAUGCAAAGUUAAAAAAUGAUGUGUCAUCUACUUUUGAUGGCCAAACUAUUGAGGAAAAUCCAGCAGAAAAAUCAUUUUCAGUUCAUGAAGAUUCUCUAAGAGGUUAUCAGGAGAAGACAAAAGGUUUCAUGAAGUUGAGGAAAAAGGAUAUAAAUAGUGGUUCUGGGAGAUCUCAAGCCUUGCAGCAAAAUGAUGAAACCUCGGAUCUGUACUUAAUAAGCAUUUUGGCUUCUAUAAACAUUGCAGUACUUCUGUUUGAAUUAGCCAGCCCAGUCAGAAAUUCUGAGUUUGAGCUCUUUUCUCUCCCAUUAUUGUACGGAGCAAAGAUAAAUGAUUUGAUCUUGGUUGGAGAAUGGUGGAGACUAGUGACACCAAUGUUUCUGGUACAAGAUUGACAACUGGGUUCGUGUUCCCAUUCUGUUACUGUUUUUACAUCUCUAUUGAUUAACAAAGAAACUGGCAUUUGAAAAUUGGUAGAAAUAAUUUUAUUUCAUUAAAAAUCACUUGAGUUUAGCUUGUCUACAAACUGUAGGUGCUGUCAUGGAAAAUAUUUAAGUCAUCAUUUUAUGCAAUAAACCCAUUUUAAAAAAUUUUGUAAGAAAUGAAGUUUGCAAGCAAUAGUUUAAUUUGUUAUAUUUUGGCUUUGAAAUUUCAAUCGCAUUCUCUCUCACAAAUAAAUGUCAUAUGCAGCACUCGGGGGUGUUUCAUGUGGCUCUGGGAUGUUGGUCGCUUCUUACUUUUGGGCCUCAAGUUUGCCGAGGUUAUGGUUCAUUUACUUUUUUCUUGAUAUACAUGCUUGGAGGAAUUUCUGGCAACUUGACAAGCUUUCUUCAUACACCAGAGCCAACUGUUGGUGGAACCGUAAGCUGAAUUGCCUUUCUCAUUCUUUCUUCUCCUUGUUCCAUAUUUCUUUUUAUUUAUGUCAAUGUGCUUCCAUGUAGAGGAUGUUUGGCUUAGCUUAUAAUUUGGUCAAUCUAAGCUUAUAAUUUGGUCAAUCUAACUUAAUCUAUGAUAUUCCUGCUUAUUAGUUGUUACACUAGAAAACUUGAAUACUGCAUUCUUAUGACAGACAUUGAUUCAUCUAAAUCCUUUAAAGUUUUUGAAUAAAGAAAUACGGCAGUUUGAUAUAAAUUCUAAUAAAUUGAGUAUUUCAUUUUAUGAGAGUUUUUCAAAGAGCUACAAGUUUUACCAUGGUUUCCAAGACAAGUUACCUUCAUAAUUUGGGGAAAUUUCGCAUGCAAUAUUUGAGCAUGAUUCAUUUUAAAUUGAGUCAUUAUGUAUGCAGGGGCCAAUAUUUGCCAUAAUUGGAGCUUGGCUUGUUUACCAAGUGCAAAACAAAGGCGUAAUUGCUAAGGAUGUUUCAGAGAGUUUAUUCCAUAAGGCUAUAAUCACCACUGGUCUCAGCUUCAUAUUGACCCAUUUUGGUCCAAUUGAUGACUGGUAAGAUUUUUUUGCUAUUUGAAAGCUGCCUACAGCAUUCAAAGAACAGAAUUUUCCUGAUAAAUUCAUCAAUUAAAGAAGAAACUUUCAUGCUCUUUUAAAUUGCUAAAUUUUGUAGGACACAUUUAGGAGCAGCUUUAACUGGUAUAGUGUAUGGCUUUUUCACAUGCCCUACACUACAAUUGGAUAAUGCAUCUUCAAGAACUGGCCAAGAUGAAGGCAUUGCGCUUGUUAGAAGAAAUGCAAAUCCUUGUAAAUCACUUGUCUUAUUCGCCAUCUUCAUUCUUUUCUUAGGUUCAUUACUUUUCUUUGUGGAACCUCCUCUAGACAGAGACAGUGUGGUGCCUGAUGACUUGGUAUGGUUUUGAAAACAUGCAAUGCCUUUGUGUAGGAUGCCUAUGUGCAAUUUCAAAUGGAGACAAGGACAAAUGUCUGUAUAUGUAGAAAUAGAAUAAUGUCUAAAAAGCAUCAUUUUUUUUUUUGCUGCUUAUGAAUUUCAUUUCCAGCCCUUUUGGAAGCAUUUGGAAUGGUCAAUCAAAUUCACAAUUAAAAAGGCUUAUGAAGAAAUUGGGAAAAGUUAUUCCUUACACAAACACAGCUCUAUGAGGAACCUUCAGCAUAUUUAUAUUUAUUUAUUUUAUAAAAUUCUCACUAAUGGAAUGAUUUUUUUUUUUAAUUAAAAAAAAAGCAUGCUUGGAUUGGAUUGGAAUACGAUAAGCACCAUUAUAGCCAUGAAAAGAAGAUAAAACCGAGCUCGAAGAUAAUCAUGUCAGGUAAACUGUAACUCUAUAGGGCACAUUUUGUCGGCAAACCAGUUAUGGACAUGACCCAUAUAUAUGAGCAACAAGCAAGCGACCCUUAACGUUAAAGACACUAAGCCUUACAAGAAACGCACACCUGUCGGUCAAAUUCCUGACUUCUCAGAAACCCACACGUAGCCAAGGCCCUUUAUUCUGUUUGAACCGAUUAAUUUCUUCUCCUACUCCAUAAGAAUGUGUAUGUUUCCAGUGCUUGAUCAUUAUGGCAGUAGGGAGGGUUCAAAGAGACUUAAUAGGUCCUCUUUUAGCUGUGAACUUUGUCGUUUAUUUGAUUGGUCUUGGGCUGGUUGGUUGGUCUCUCGACAAAUACAUCAAUGGCGAACAGAAUCACCCACGCAAGCUGUUCUUCCUCGCUCUCUGACAAUUUUUUUUCUUUUUUUGGCUUAACUGUUUGAUCACCUCCACAGAUUUGGGUGGGAAUCCAUCUAUAAGCUUCAUGUUGGUGUUUGCGUUGAUAGGUGGUGUAAUCAGCGCUAUCUCAGUGAUAGUUGGGCUUCUUCACUUUCGUGCUUGGAGAAGUGAUAGUUUGGCCUGUGCCAGUUCUUUAGGAACUAUUUCCUGGGCCAUUACUGCUCUAGCUUUCGGGUAUUUAAAAUUUAUAUAAUUACCUCAUCCUUUUUCUGCUUGGACUUGACUUUGAACAGCCCAAACAUUUCAAUGCUUGCUUGCUUUUGCUUCCAUUGAGUUUGGAUUUUGAGGAUCAUCAUCAUGCAUGUAGGUCAGGCUCAAUUGAGUUUGGAUUUUUAAGUCUCAGCAAGCUUGAUUCUGUUGGGAAAUUCAAGUUACUUCUUUAUGUUCAUUCCAUGAUUUCUUGUAGUUUCUUCUUUUAUACGUUAUGAAUUGUUUCAUUUCUCUAUCUAAUCCAAUAGGUGUGUUUUGUUACAGAUUUGCAUGCAAGCAGAUCAUAUAUGGAGGGCAUAGAGGAAAACGCUUGGUAAAUACUUCAGAAUAGACUAAGCCAUGCAUCUUAAUAAUUUUAAAGGAAAAUUUUGUAGACCUUGAAAAAAGAAAGGCAGUGUACCAAAAAAUUGCCACCUAGUCAGUGCUUUAAUGACUGAUCUUUUGCAGAAAACAUUGGAAGCACUGAUCAUAGUAUCAUUCCUUAGUUGCUGUAUCUGUUGCUCCUCCAUGCUGGGAUGUCUAAGAAAAGAUAUGGACCUGGUUUCCACAGCUACGAUGGCGACCAUGGCCGUGACAUUGCCAUUAGCAACGAACCCCAGAAGGCUAGCCCUCCUGAGGUUAUCUGAAUCUGAUUACAAACUUCUAGGCAUAUCUAUCCUGCACAUUUUGUGUUUGCUGUAUAUAUGCUGGCGUGUGUUUCAGGUUUAUUGUAGCCUUUAUUUGCUUUUUUAUACAUGAAAAACACUCGGCUUCGACCACCUCUCUCUCCUCCACUCACUGUAAUUAUGUUAAAUCCGGAAGCUCCUCAACCAAUUGGUAGAAUAACAGCAAGGUUUGCAAGCAAUCUGC